ensembl:lncRNA
CCAUUAUUUUCCAGAACCGUUUUGAUUAUAAAGAUGAGACUUUUCUAAAUCUAAUGGAAAAACUGAAUGAAAACUUCAGGAUUCUGAGCUCUCCAUAGGUUCAGCCAAAGAUGGAGAAAUUCUAUACAGUCAGCAAAAAGCAAGACCAGGAGCUGACUGUGGCUCAGAUCAUGAACUCCUUACUGCCAAAUUCAGACUUAAAUUGAAGAGAGUGGCGAAGACCACUAGACCAUUCAGUGUACAGAUCUUUUGCCUCCUUGAUUAAAUUUAUUUUAAGUCUUAGGAGAUCCAACCAGUCCAUCCUAAAGGAAAUCAAUCCUGGUGUUCAUUGGAAGGACUGAUGUUGAAGCUGAAACACCAAUACUUUGGCCACCUGAUGCAAACAGCUGACUCAUUUGAAAAGACCCUGUUGUUGGGAAAGAUUGAAGGCAGGAGGAGAAGGGGCGACAGAGGAUGAGAUGGUUAGAUGGCAUCACAGACUCAAUGGACAUGAGUUAGGGUAAACUCCGGCAGUUGGUGAUGGACAGGCAGGCCUGGCAUGCUGCAAUACAUAGGGUCGCAAAGAGUCAGACACAACUGAGCGACUGAACUGAACUGAUGUGAACUGAAGUAGUUUAUUCAUUUUGUUUCUAUUUCUUGAAGUUCUGUCAGUUUUGCCUCACAUAUUUAAAUGCUCUGAUGCACUUGCGAAUAACACCACUCCACUUUACAGUUAAUGUCUCUUAUAAUAACAAAUAAUAAUGCUUCUUCCUUUCCAUCCUCUGUAUCAUUGUUGUGGUUCAUUCCACUUACAUAUAAGCAUAAGGUAAGGGUAAGUGAAGUCGCUCAGUCAUGUCUGACUCUUUGUGACCCCAUGGACAGUAGCCUGCACCAGGCUCCUCUGUCCAUGGGAUUUUC